GCAAGCCGAAGGGCAGCUACCGGUUUCUAUAGAUUUAAUGUCUGUAGUUAAACUGAGGAAACUCCACCCAUCAUGCAGAGCCGUGGUGCCGUAGCAUCAGCUGAGAGGCUGGACCCUGGAGCAGAAACGACACGUCUCCUGGUGGAUGAUAAUGAAGCUUCACCCUCAAGGAGCAGACUGACAUCAGGAGGACCGGUGAAACGGCCAUUCCACGGGAUGCAAGGACAAAUGCUGCCUGUGAUUACUGUAGGAGGCAGAGGUAGUCCGCCCAGAUGAAUGCUGCCGAACAGAAGGUGGGUUACUCUCGGCAUGC
rnacentral:RNase_P_RNA from 2 species